UCUGCCCAACUCUAUCUCUCUCAUUUCACCAGCUCAACUCUCUCACUCAGAUAUGCAGCCCAUCUCAUUCCCCUCCCUCUCGACUCCCUCUAACCCUAGAAAUAGUGGUGGCGGCAGCAGCAACAUAGUGGUGGUGCCAUUCUUCAAGCGACGUUUGGAGCCGAGGAGGUGAACCACAUCUCUCUGAAAAGCCUUGUUAGUGUACUUUGUAAUCGAAGCUUCUUCAAUGGCGAAUAUCAAUUUACCUCGAAGAAUUAUCAAAGUAAGUCACUCGAUCUUCCUCUUCUCCUAUUUCUCGAUCCCUUCCCCAAUUCAUUUUGAUUUAAUUUCUUCAUCCUUGUUUAGAAUUUUUCUGUUUGAAUAAUUUAUUUUUGGUAGAUUCAUGUCUGCUUUGAAGUUUUUAAAAAGACUGGACUACAUUUUUUGAGAAUCAGGUGCUUUCUCCUGCGAUGUAUAAGCAUAUUUUCCUUGGACGACCUUUCCACCUUAGCUUUUUGAAAGAGUAAUAUUGGAGUUAUUUGUGGAUCAUGAUACUUUUCCUCUUGUGGUAAAUUAUUUUAUUGGCUUCUUGUUGGAUGGUUUUGUAUACUUGUCUACUCAACCUUUCCAUUACUUUCCUUUUAUUAAAUAAUAAGGUUAGUGUGAUUACAUUGCUUAUGCCCAUUUUAGUUUACCUCAUAUUUUAUUUUAUGAUGGAUCUUCCUGUUAAUUGCUUUCCAUUUGACCUGUAAACUACUCCCAAUGUCCAUGGGUUCUUCUCUUUUUUGACAGUUCUCUAAUGUACUUAUACUUAUUUAAAAAAAUAAAUUAAUGUGACCUUAUACUUCAACUGAUUUUAGUUAUGAAUUAUUGUUUGUACAUUUGGUGAUUUGUACACCUUAAUGAUUAGAUAAGUAUUUGCAAUAUAUGCAGGAUUGCUUCAUCAUAUCAGUCUCGUAUGUAUCCGUUUGUCGUGCUCUCAUAUGUAUCACCACAUUUACAUUAUGCAGUUGUUGACUAAGAGUAACUCAUUCGGCUCCGCUGACGUUUCACAACGCUGACUGAUUCGGCAUUGCACGCCUUAGGUAACAUGUUUAAUUGUUAGGGUUAAUAUGCGUUGUCCUUCUUAAUUAUAUUUGUUAUAUGCCUUCGCCUUUGGAGUACUGAUUGGAACUUCUGGUAUUUGCUACAAAUUACCUAUAGUUAAUGCAUUAGUUGGUCGUAUCUUCUCAUUGCAAAUUUUAUAAUGCUAUUUUGACUAUUACACUCAGCUAAAAGAUAUAUUCCCCAUUCUUAUAGCCACGGUUUUUCCUACGAUGUGCCAUGCUCAGUCUACUUUCCCACUAAAGCUCUAAAUGGAAAUCCAGGGGGAGUCUGAAUUUGGUGUAGAACCAUUCUUUAGUAAUGGUGUUCUAGAAUAAGACAUGAUUAAAACCUCACAUAGAUUAAGUUGAAUAAUAAAUUUGAUGGUUGUCCCAUGCUCGAUAUAUUUUUCCUAUAAAGCUCUAACUGAAAGUCUAGGGGAAUCUAAAUUUGGUAUAGAACCAGUAUUUUAUGAUGGUAUACCAGAAAAAGACAUGAUUAAAACCUCACAAGAUUAAGCUGAAUAGUAAAUUACGAUAGGUAGAGUUUAUAAAUGGAUCUUCUAAUUUUUCAUAUUAUUAUUUAAAUGAUACAUGAUAAAAUUCAGUAUUAUUAUAUAAUUUCAGCUCAGAAAACAGGAAGCAAGAGGUAAAUGACAUCGUUUCUUUAAAAAUUAGAAGAUAUGUUUUAUUUUAAGGAUUGACAAGCUAAAUAUCCAUGCCACAACUUGGAGACCUAUCAAAUUGCAAGUCUAAAACACACCAAUAAAUUUGGUAAUUUAAGUUUUGUGAGUUACUAUAGAAAAGAAAGAAAAUAAAAUAUAUUAGUUUAACACAUACCAGUUGGCAUCAAUGUUGAUAUCCUAGCCGUUACUUUAUAUGGUUAAAUUAGAAAAACAUUUCUUGUUAAACACAUUUACAUGAAAUAUUCAUUCUCAAGAAAAUUAGCUUCCAAAGAACCAAAGAGCAUAACUGUUAGGAAUAACCGCAGUCUUAUAGAUUAUCUAGUUGCAAUAGAAAAUUUUUUAUUUUUAUUUUUAGGAUUUGGUAGCUAUUAGAAGGAAGAUGUAGUAGUAGUUUCUAUAAGGUCUACUAAGCGGUACAAGUAUGGGUAAAAGAUGUAUUUCCAUUUUAAACCAUGAUUUGAAUGAAAUAUUUAAUUGAGAUAUAUUUUCCCUCUCUUAUUCCCUUCCUCAUCACAAAUUCUCCUUUCUACAGAUAAUACUGUGGUGCAUGGUCAGAGCGUAGGUGAUGAAUUUGCAGAUAAUAAAGAUCAAAAUUCUGCAAAAGACGCGGUUCCAAAUAAUAUGAACCAAGAUACUAGUCAGAAUCUUACCAACUUUGCUAAUGUAUCUAUGGAUACAUCACAAGUUACUGCAUAUGUUCAUGAAUCCAUUUCUGAGCAUCAGCUGGUUGAUGUUUCUGGUAACCCAUAUUAUAUCUACUGAAUAUCUUUAUUUUAGAUUGUUACUAUCUGACCUAUACUAUUUCCAUGCCACGAGCGGCGCUUUGAAAUAGUACUAUAUCAAUUGUUGUUAGUUUUUGUGUAAUAUAAUUUUAUACUGAAGAAGUGAGUUGUUAAGUUAUGCCUGCACAUGUUUCUAUUAGGCAUUAUAUGCUUCUGUUUUAGAGUUUGUGAAGUGAAUGCUGUAAUUAGGUAGGCAUAAGAUUUUACACAAAAGGGUAAGUCGAUUAGGCCAUUGUAUUUGCUGUGGGAAAUGGACUCGAUGUAGAGUUACCAUUCCAUCAUUAUUGCACGAUAUGGCUGCUCUACACUUGAGCCUGAUCUUUCAUGAGUGAACUAAACUAUGAUGCCAGCGCCUAUUUUUUGGGCCGGCAGACCAUGUUAACCUAUGUUUUGUUGUUAUUCAGAAAAAAAAAUUUGUUGUGUAGUUCAUUUUAGUUUUAUAUGCUGCUCUUCCAAGUUUGACCAUCCCUUACCUUUGAGUCUCUUCCAACCCGACAGAUGGUGCUACACGGUACUACCAUUCAUUCAUUCAUUCCAUUGAACAGUCUCAAAAGGACUAAUGUAACUUAUAUAUAUUCAAAAUAAUAUUACAUUCCCCAGGUUCUUUCUAACCCUUUUCACUUGUUCUUGUCAUAAUAUCAAUAUAUUACAAACAGUCAUCCAAUACUAUUACAUAAGUAUGCUACGGGUUCGUUUUCGCUUUUACUUUAUCCUUGCCAGAGCCUUCAGUCCGCUCGAUCUUGGUUGUGUUUAUAUGGUUCAAGCAAGAGUCAGGAUGACUAGCUCAGCAAGUACUACAAUUCUAAUAAACAACAUGCUUGAAACAUAGAACUCAUAUAUCUUCAGUAAAUUAAAAAUAGUUACGAAGUACUAUCGAUAAUUCAAAAUAGCACCUCUUUUCCUUCAAAACGUUUUCCAACAACAAUAUUCAGUAGAAUAUCAAAUAAGGCUCAAGGUUAAGAGCAUUUCAUAAUUUCUUUUGAAAAAGGACAAACCGGCACUAAGUCAAUAAGUCCGGCAUAGCUUACGAGCACUUCUGGGUGAUCAGCCCAUAGCACUCUAUGUUGAUCAACACUACAUCCAUUAAACGUGUAUACGUUUAAGUUGUGGCAACCUCACGUGCCUGUCGUUAAACGACAAAACAUUUUAGCAUACUUGGUCUUCGAUUGAAAACCAUACCAAUAUAACUCGGUAAACAUUAACCAUGCUUGACAAAAUCAUAAUAUAAGUCUAGCCGAAAGAAUUAGCUUUAGACUUCAUCAUUCAAAACUUCAUGCGAAAGGAUACAUGAAUUACAAAGCUUGUCCAGACUGAACUGGAACAAGGGUUAGAAUACUUGCCUUUAGCGUCUGAUUACUGAUUAAUACCCGUACAGUACUUUAAGUCUUUACAUUUCUAUAACACAUGAUCAUAUAACGUACCACAUUAGGUCACACAUAAUCAAGUAUGUAUACUAUUAUAUCUUACCCUUCAUCUCAAUGUAAAUCCUGACUUAGAUAUACUAUUAUGGUUUCCGGCUUUCAUUACGUUAUUCACAUUUUGCUCAUCUUCGAUUGAUUAUUAACUCUUAAUCAUCAUACAUUAGUGUCUUACAAUGUCUUAACAACGUUAUGCAUAUACCUUAAUUCAUUAUUAUCAAGUCCCCUUUCAUUCUAUACUUGCAAACAUUCUUUUCUAACAAUUUCUUGUGACUGGCGUUGCAGCGCCAACAUUAACUCUGCAUCUCACGUUGCGGCAUGAGUUAGCAGUAUGCAGGGUUCCAGCCUCACACUGCGGCAUGGGUUUUAAGGCUGUGAGUCGCGCCGCGGCGCGGACUCUGUGCCUCAGAAAAUUUUGCAGAUUUGAAAAUUUUACGAACUUCCCGGACGCAUAACUUCUUCGUUAUAAGUCCGAAUUGGUCCGUUCAAAAGCCUACGGUUCUCAAAUUUCAUACUCUACGCGUUCAUGUAAGAAUUUUAUCUAUUUGACUUCGUUUGCUAAAAUUUCACCUAUGAGUUCAUUUUCAACAAAAACGAUAAACAUUCGUGAAUGUUCAACGCUCAUUUCUUCGUUCUAAGUCAGAAUUCGAUCAUUUUUGAGUCCACAACUCUAUAAUGCCAAAUAUGACUUGUCUCCAUUGACAACCAAAGUUGCCAAUGUCAAACACAAAAUACGACUUCCAUUCCGAGAAUUUCACGAAUUCAACGAUAAUCGUCCAAUCGUAUGAAUUCCGACAAAGCUUCAUUACUAAUCAUUCUAAAUGGAUUUUGAUCAAAAAAGGAUCUUACAAGUUACUUAUUACAACUAAUCUUAGGUGUUCAGCAUGAUCUUCUGGCGCCUUAGAAUAGACUAGAAUAUCAUCAAUAAACACCACGACGAAUUUGUCCAAAUAUUGUUUGAACACUCUGUUCAUCAUAUCCAUGAAUGCAGCUGGUGCAUUUGUCAACCCAAACGACAUCACCAGAAACUCGUAAUGACCAUAACGAGUCCUGAAUGUUGUCUUUGCCACAUCCUCCUUCCUAACCUUCAACUGAUGAUACCCCAUUCUUAAAUCUAUUUUAGAAAAAUACUUAGCCCCUUUCAACUGAUCAAAGAGAUCAUCGAUCCUGGGCAAUGGGUAUUUAUUCUUUAUCGUUAACUUGUUCAGCUCUCUGUAGUUGAUACAAAGUCUUAACGAUCCGUCCUUCUUCUUGACAAACAGUACCGGUGAUCCCCACGACGACACACUCGGCUGAAUGUACUUCCUAUCCAACAGUUCUUGCAACUGCACCAUUAACUCCUUCAUCUCCACUGGCGCCAUACGAUACGGUGCCCUGGAAACUGGUGCUGCUCCUGGAACAAUGUCUAUCACGAACUCUGUCUCCCUAUCCGGCGGAAGACCAAGCAAUUCACUCGGAAAUACAUCGGCGAAUUCUCUCACUAUCGGUAUUUGUUCCAUGGUUGCUACCACUCUUUGGGUAUCAACAACAUGGCACAGGUAACCUACGCAUCCCUUCCUUAGUAAUUUCCUAGUUUGUGUCAUGGUUAGACCACACGAACGUCCUGGCGAUCUAUUCCCGUAAAAUACUACUCGAGGUUGUUAUAACGUCUUAAUGUUCACACAUUUAUUUUGACAAUCUAUAAUUGCCCCAUGGUUUACCAACCAAUCCAUUUCGAGAAUUACGUCAAACUCUCUUAACUUUAUCGGUAUUAGAUCCACCGAUAAUUUACAACCCCGUAUGUCUACACAACAAAUCUUGUGAACAUCUUCAACAGGAAUUAUUUCUUCGUUUGCUACCUUAAUAUUUAAAGGUAUAGGCAACUUUUCGCGAAGUAACCUAAUCGUCUAGCAAAAUUGCAUGCUAUAAAUGAACAAGUAGCACCCGAAUCAAAUAGUACGUACGCAUUGAUAUCAUUGAUCAGAAUAAUACCUGCGACAACGUCCCCUGAUGCGACUGCAUCUUGGAUUGUCAUGUUAAAGGUACGACCCAUCGGCCUACCCGGCUGCGCUGGACCCCCAAUAGCUAACUUACCGCUAUUAGUGCCCCGGUUCCCAUCCGUCCCCUUCUUCGGGCAGUUCUUUACCCUGUGUUCAGUUGAUCCACACACAAAGCAUCCAUGAUUCUUCUUCGGACUCGGUCAAUUAGGUGCAAUGUGCCCCUCUUGUCCACAAUUGUAACAGACUGCCUUCCCCUUGAGACAGACUCCUAAGUAAGUCUUCCCACAGGUCUUGCAGGCCUCUAUUCUCUUCUUCGGGUCUCCUUGCUUCACUCUGGUAUUCCCAGAGCUAAAUACCUUCCUCUUCUGACCCUCGCCACUUCCACUGGCUCCCUCGAUCUUGACUCUCCCGUCUACUUUACCCUUGCUCUUCUUGUCCUUGUGGUAUUGACUCAGAGCCUCACUACCACCUUCGGCGAUUAUCUCCUUCUCUAAAAUGGUUCCAAAAGAAGUACUUUGGAACACCGAUAUACGGUUAUAGAGCUAGGGUUUCAAGCCUUCCUCGAACCGUCGCGCCUUCCACACCUCAGUAUCCACUUGAUGUGGAGCGAACCUUGCCAGUUCAUUAAACUUGGCGGCGUAUUGGGGCACUGUCAUGUCCCCUUGUUUCGACUCCAGAAACCGCAUCUCCAUCCUUUCUUACAUGCUCGUGGGAAAGUAGUUCUCGAAGAAUAUCUCCUUGAACCUAUCCCAUGUCAGAUUCGCUAUCCCAACCCUAGCCUGAUUGGCUUCCCACCAAAAGUUGGCCUCUCCCUUCAUUAUAUAGGUCGCAAAGGCAACCUUUUGGGCCUCAUCAACAUUUUCUAUUACAAAUGCCUUCUCUAUUUCCUUAACCCACGUUUGGGCUUCAAUAGGGUCCGUAGUUCCUUUGAACUCCGGCGGACCCACACUUUUGAAAUCCUUAAAGGUAGUAGCUCGUGUUACUCCCGGAUUCACGGGGAUAUUAGCCCCUGUUCUAUUAAAUGCGGCUGUUAUUAAAUUAACAAACUCCUGCAUCGGAUUAACCGGACCUCCCUCCGGUUGAUUUAUGUCCGCACCUUGAUUACGUUGCACUCUUCUCGGUGGCAUUUUGCUGAUACAAUAAACACAUUGCGUUAUUAUUCCUUUCUUUAUUAGUUAUCGUUAAUAUUAAACAAUAACGUCAACAUUCAUAACUCAAUGCUUUCCAUAAAAAGAUCUUUAUAUUCAUUCUUGUAGUAUAAUACUACAUUGGUUACAUACACAGCCUAAGCUGAUUAUAUUACUUUCGCGCUAUCACUUUCCAAAAAUUGGGAUUUACAAAAGACUACCCUUUACUAUACAAAAAGGGUUUUAUGUCACUACUACUUACAAAAUAUUUACAUACUACCUUAAAUACCACUAAUCUACAUCUGCCUCAAGGCAUUAUCGAAAUCUGCCUUGGCAAGGCCGGCAAUGGUAUCACGGCUAAUAGUAUGCCAUGUUUGCCCCACCUCCACAGGAUAUCCAGUUACCUGCUGUUGGAAAUCUGUAUGAGAACUCCUAUAGAAAUAGGACAUUCUCCCUAUCUUUUGCACCUUAGUCUUUAGCUCCUCCUUAAGCUCAAAGACCUCGUGCUUUUAAUCAUGGACUUUGUCCUUAGCCAAAAUCCUCUCGUCGUGUUCUUGCUUCCACAUGGACUCGACAUCAGUCUUGUUCUCUCUAACAAUUUGGAGCUCUGCCUUCAACUCCUUAACCUCCUGACAGUAAUGGAUAUUUCUAUCCAACACUGAUAUAAACAGAGACAUCAUUGACCCCCCAGGAGCUAUCUCGGCUGCUAUAGCUACUGGAUUAAAGGAAACUGUCUCUACCUCCUCCUCUAUCAUCCCCAAAUACUGACAUGUAGUCAGCUUCAUCUGAGUCUCUAGACUCAAUAUUCACUACAUCUGGCUCUAGUGCUAUAGGGUUUGGUAUAACCUCUACUUGGUUCACCGAUUCUUCACUAAUGGUUUGACCAUCUACAAACAUCCCGUUUACUCCUGACAUCUAUACAAAAUAAUUAAGUUGAUUAGUACACGUCAGUAGAAUAAUAAAAACACAUAAUAUAAUCAUAAUGCAUUUUUAUAAGGUUAUUUUCUUCUUGUACUUCCUUAACUUUUCUUAAGGUUAUGACUUAAGGUUUUUAAUUUCCCCCCUUAAGUUUUAUAACCUAAUGCUCUGAUACCAACCUGUGACGCCCCCAAAUUCGGGUCUCUUCCAACCCGACAGAUGGUGCUACACGGUACUACCAUUCAUUCAUUCAUUCCAUUGAACAGUCUCAAAAGGACUAAUAUAACUUAUAUAUAUUCGAAAUAAUAUUACAUUCCCCAGGUUCUUUGUAACCCUUUUCACUUGUUCUUGUCAUAAUAUCAAUAUAUUACAAACAGUAAUCCUAUAUUAUUACAUAAGUAUUUUACGGGUUUGUCUUCGCUUUGCCUUUAUCCUUGCCGGAGCCUUCGGUCCGCUCGAUCUUGGCUGUGUUCAUAUGGUUCAAGAAAGAGUGAGCAUGACUAGCUCAGCAAGUACUACAAUUCUAAUAAACAACAUGCUUAAAACAUAGAACUCAUAUAUCUUCAGUAACUGAACAAUAGUUACGAAGUACUAUUGAUAAUUCAAAAUAGCACUAAUUUUCUUUCAAAACGUUUUCCAGCAACAAUAUUCAGUAGAAUAUCAACUAAGGCUCAAGGUUAAGAGCAUUUCAUAAUUUCUUUUGAAAAAGGACAACCCGACACUAAGUCCGUAAGUCCGGCAUAGCUUACGAGCACUUCUGGGUGAUCAGCCCAUAGUACUCUAUGUUGAUAAUUAAUCUAACUACUUUCAUUGGGCUUUGAUAAUUAAUCUAACUACUUUCUUAAUGGGCAUGUGCUUCAUAUAGAUUGGACUUAUGAUUAACAACCACUUGGGCUUGAUUGUCACAUUCUAUUGGACUUAUGCUAUUAGGUUAAUAAUCCUACAAGUCCAUUCCCUUUAAUUAAAUAACUUAACAUAAAUACACCACAUAUAAUCCUCGUAUGCUAGCUCAUAUAUUAAUUCGUAAUAUACGUUAUUUCAUUCUCCAUAUAAUAGUAUAACACGUCAUAUUAUACUUACGUUCAUUACUUCAUAUAAUACGUACGCAUCAUACGAUUACAACUUUCUUCCUUUAACGCUUAAUAAACCUAACGUUCCCAAAUUAAGUCCGCAUGAGAAAAAUUACGAUUUCCAUACUUAGAUUAUUAUUACAUAAUCGAUCUCACCUUGAUAUUAUAACGUUACGUAUUUCUUGAAAGUUCAAAAAUAAUUCCCGAGUAGAACUCGAUGAAUAGUGUUUUUCGGAAAAUUUCUCGAAAAACUUUUAUUUUCGUUUUAGAAAUUCAAACACUUUAAUUCUCUCACGAAGUUAAAAUACUACGACGUUCUGACAUUUCUAGGUUAUAGAACGACAUUCAGCUUAUCAACACAUAAUAAUAACAAAUAAUAUUAUUUUAUUCAUUAUUAAAAAUAUGUACAAAGGUUCGAUUUUUCGUACCCUUGGUACGAAAAGAAAAGGAAAAUGAUGAAUCAACUAUAUCAUCAAAAUAAUUCAGUAGUAAUUGUUUCACCAUUUUAGAUUUACAACUCCUUUAAAUAAAUCCAGUUGGUGACAUGGAUCCCAUCUCAUGGUUGAACCCACUCUCCUAUUGUUUCUUGUCUGUCUUGUUUUUAUAUUUUCUUGUAAAUGAAAUGCUACAACGUGCUACAACGUGAGAGCCAGCUGUUAUACACUGUGGAUGUUUAUGAAUAUGCUUACUAUGUGAAGUUCCUUAUGAAAAAAAUAUUUAAACCUAGCAACUCUUGAGUGCAAAGUCCAGCAAUGGAUAUCAUUUGAAGGAGUUGUGUUUCAGGUGUAAAUGUGUACCUGAGGUCCUGAACUCUAACCUGCCAUUUCCCACAAAGUUGGUUGGGACUUGGGACUAAACUUGUGCAUAAAUUUGAUCACUAUUGUGACCUGGUUAGGACUCAGUAAUCAGUAGUUUGUAUAUGGGUCUAGAUCCAGUAGUGGUCAGUAAACUAAUUAUAAUAUUAAUGUUUCUAUCCUCUGGACUACUGUAUCUACAUGAAUGGGCUCUCCUCAUCUUCACUUAGUAAAGCCUAAUCCCAACUAUUUGAGGCUGGUUAAAUGAAUUUUGUUUCAACCGUCCAUAUGAGUUUGUUUUGUAUAUAUAUAGAUGGGUGAUAGAUAAUCAGAUUGAUAAUAUGGUUUAAACCCAGGAUAUUAAUAUAGGUGUAUUUUAUAUUGAUAUCAAAUUUUAAUCAAAGAAGUCUGGUGUUUCUAGGUGUUGUACAUCACAUCUUUCACUAACAUGCUGCUUCAUUUUCUUUCUUGUAGCUUCUUGGGAGGAGAAGUGGAUUUCAUGUGGCAUCAACUUAUCGGCUGUGUACGAAAUGUCUUUGGCAUCAACUCAUUGAUUCAUUUGUAGUUUCUACAGUGCUAUGUAACAUGUUCAUUUAUAUUUAUAUUGAAAAGUGAAUUUGAGAUGCAUAUAUGGAUAGUUUGAUAUAUAUUUUGUGGAUGUAGUAAUUUGAAACUGUAACGAAUGGUAUUAUUGGAAUGUAUUUUAAAUGGUUGAUACAUUUUGGCUUUAAAUUUAAAUGAGAAUUUAGACUUUUUAGCUAUAUAUCAUGGCAUUAGCAUAUUGCAGGUGCAUUGGUAAUAUAGGUGAACCACAACAUUUUUUUUCUUUUUUUUCUUUAUCUACAACAUUUUAAAAAUGUUGUAUAUUUGUAUAAAUAAAUGACACCUUCUAAACGUUGUAUAAAAUGGUUAAAAACAUUGUCUGAUAUAUUAAACUACAACGUUUUUAUCCAGAAAACGUUGUGGAAUCAUACCUUCUACAACGUUUUUAAGCAUUUACUAAUUUAUGGAAAACAAAUUUACAACGUUUUUUUCUUUAAAAAUGUUGUGUAAUGUGCUUAACUGCAACAUUUUAAAAAUGUUUUGAAAGGGUGUCAAAUAGAUCACACCCUUAACCAUGACGUUUUUCUGACUGAAACCACAACGUUUUUUCUGCCUUAUCUAUUUACUGUUUUGUAGUAGUAAUAAUAACUCAAGUUUGAGUUAGGAAACUUGCCUUGGUCGCUGACAACUGCUACACAAUCUAAUUUAGCUUUGUUUGAAAGAAUUAUUGUAAGACCCCAACUUUUAUGAAUAAAGAAUAAUUUUCUCGAAAUAUAUUUUUGAAUAUUAUGGUGUGGAUUUGAUAUAAUAUUAUAGUUGUGGGUAAUAUUUACAAAUUUUGCAAAGUAAACAAGUGGUUAUAUAAUAUUCGAUUGGUCGGGGAAUAUUCGUUUUAACAGGGAAUAUUCGUACGACGAAACAAUCAUUUGUGAACCCCACAACGGAAGUAUUGUCGUUGUUAGAAAAUGACAUAAUUAUCUUUUUAUAAAAAUAACGGCGGAAGUUUUACCAUUAAACUGUUGAACUACCCGGUAGUAAAAGUACAGUAAUACGCGUGGUUGCAUAGUAGCACACGGUAUUGAUUAUUGAUGCUUACGUGAGAAAUCACUCAGUUAUACUCAAUUAUUGCUACAGUAAUUGCUGCAUCAUAUCUCUCAUAUUAUUGAUUUGAUUAUUGUCACAGUAUCAUCUGCAUUAUAUGAUAUAUUAUUAAAUCAAUAAUUGAGACAACAAAGUUANNNNNNNNNNNNNNNNNNNNNNNNNNNNNNNNNNNNNNNNNNNNNNNNNNNNNNNNNNNNNNNNNNNNNNNNNNNNNNNNNNNNNNNNNNNNNNNNNNNNUCACAUGAUUGAACUAUUGAUUCACAUUAUUUACUAUUAGGGGAGGUGGUGCAAGUUUGAUAAUACUUGCAGGACUAAAUUAAAAAUGAAAGAAAAGUUGGAGGUAUUGUACUAUAAUUUUUUGAGCCCCAAAACGUGCAAUUAUCGAAACUAUAUUUUUCUAUAAAUAGAAGCUCAUUCUUCCUUCAUUUCUCACCAAUUCACUAAAGCAAUAGAGCAAUUAUUAUAGAGAGAAAUUAUAGAGAGAAUGAAGAAGAGAAGUCUGCUACCUCUCUACUCCAGUAUCCAGUUUCUUUCUAAGGUAAGGGGUAUUAUUUCUUUCGUAUUCAUGAAAAGAGCUUCUGUUAUUCCAUUCUUUAUUAUUAUGUUGGAAUAACUUGUCUAUGCGAAGUACCGCAUACACGGUGGAAUUCUUCUGUUAUUCCAUUCCUUAUUAUUAUGUUAGAAUAACCUGUCUAUGCGAAGUACCGCAUACAUGGUGAAAUUCUUCUGUUAUUCCAUUCUUUAUUAUUCUGUUGGAAUAUCCUAUAUGUGCGUAUUACGCAUGACCUGGUUCCAUUAUUUAUUAUUUUAUUGGAAUAACCUGUCUGUGCGGUCAAUCGCAUGCCUGGUGAAUUCUGUGGUUAUUCCAUUCUUUAUUAUUCUGUUUGAAUAUCCUGUCUGUGCGGAUUACGCAUGACCUGGUUCCAUUCUUUAUUAUUCUGUUGGAGUAUCCUAUUUGUGCGGAUUACGUAUGAUCUGGUUCCAUUCUUUAUUAUUCUAUUGGGAGUAACCUGUCUGCGCGGUCUAUCGCAUGCAUGGUGAAUCCUUCUGUUAUUCCAUUCUUGAUUAUUCUGUUGGAAUAACCUGUCUAUGUGGAUUACCACAUGCACAGUGAAUGAUCCUUUGUAUUCAUUCCUAGUUAAAUUGUGGAAAUGAUCUGUCUACAUGGAUUACCGCAUGGCGAGCAAAAAUCCAUUUGCAGUUUCAUAUAUUCUAUUAUACUUAGUUGGUUAAAGUUUUGGCUUCUAUACUCCAUGAAAUUAGUAGAAUAUCCUGGAUAUUCGUGCUUCAUCCACUAUCUUUUCAUGGGAAUAUUUUUCUGAGCAUUCUUGAAUUUUACUCCACAAAGAAGUAUCAUGUUGACAAUUUGGACGUUAUUGAUUUCUGGAUAAACUAAAAUUUUAAAUCUUUAAAAUUUAUUCUUGAACUUGUUUUAUUGAAUUAUUAUGUCAUUGUCAUCAUCUUCAUGCUUAUAUUGUGAUGAAAAUCAUCUUUGGCUUACGUGCAUUGAUGGACUUGGUAUGAUUAUGACCAGGGAUUAUUUGGUAUAAUCAUGACCUAUAAUCUUAUAAAUGAUGUGGUAAAAGUCCUCAGUAGCCUGUAGUGCAUUGACUGACAGUUUUUGGUAUGAUUAUGACCAGGGAUUAUUCAGUAUAGUCAUGACCAUUGAUGAUUUAAUGAAUAUCCUUGGCCCGUAGUGCAGGGAUGACCCGAUGAUGUGGUUUAUUUAUUAAGUUGAGUCUCAACGAUAAAAAUUGAAGAAAAUAUUUUAAAUCAUAGAAGAUAGUAGAUAUCAUGCUCUACUUGACUCUUCUAAUGGAUUGCUUAUUCCGCUGCAGUUAAACUUGAUGUCUAUUGUAUUUUAUCAGUUUAACAUUGUUGAAGACUAAUGAUAAUUUAUUCUGCAUUAUCUUAGUCAUAAUAUUUCUUACUGGGCUAGUUGAGCUCACCCUUUCUUUCACUGUUCUCCUCAGGAAAUGAGAACGUAGCCGAGACUAGUCGGGGAACAGAGUGACGGUCCAGAUGAUAGCAUUAAUAGUCCUCACUAUUUUGUUAAAUAGUGUGACAAUAAAUGUAAUGAUGACUCCAUUGAGUGUGGAUAUUGUCUAUAUGACAAUAUUCUUAUUAAAACUCUUAAAUUAUGUUUUGUCGUAUUUUACACCACCGUUGUAUAAUUAAGUUGUAUUUGAAUUUUGUAGCAUGUAUUUGGCGACUCAAGAUGGGUGAUGUAUACCUAUUUUGGGGGCGUCACAGUUGGUAUCAAAGCUUAGGGAUACGAUCCCUGGCUGAGAUGUGAGACAAGAACUAGGAGGGGAGAGACGGGGAAUUCCUUCGCUAGUAUGACCUACCUAAGUUUAUUUGGUAUUUAAUUGGUCGGUCAGAGUAUAGGGAUAAUAUGUGAUAUGUUAAUUAACCCUUGUUUUGUGGCAGUAUUUGAAAAUGGGAUCCGAAAAUGUUGAGAUAAACAAUGAAGCACAUGAGACCGUUGAGUCACCACAGAUUAAUGCCCAGGAUAAUGUGCAACAGGAAGACAAUAAUCCUCAUGUAAACAAUAACACCGAUGAAAUGGUGAACGAUGGGAUGUUCAGAGGCUUUAUGCAAUUCAUGCAACAUCAGGCGAAAGCGGCUCCUGUCCAAAAUGCAGGUGGAAACACUGACAACUCUCGUACGGUCACCACUAAGCAGUUCAAGGAGCUGGGACCACCAGAGUUUUUUGGAGAGCCAAAACCACUUAAGGCGGAGACGUGGAUAGAGUAGAACAACAAGAUAUUUGAUGUCUUGGGAUGCUUCGAGGAGCAAAAUGUUCCCUUUGCCACCUUCAUGUUGCGAGUAGAGGCAGAUUACUGGUGGGAAUCUAUAAAGCGUACUCAAUCUGCCGCACUCAAAAUGUCUUGGGAGAAGUUCCAAGAGCUGUUCAACGAGAAGUACUUUCCUGAAAGUAUUCGUCACAUGAAGGAGGUAGAGUUCAUCAAGCUUGAGCAAAAUAAUAUGACCGUGGCGCAGUACGAAGCUAUGUUUGUCGAGUUAUCUCGGUUUGCGUCCCACUUGGUUGAUAAUGAGGAGAGAAUGACGCGGAUGUUUCUAAGAGGUUUGAAACCUGAGAUACGUCAAUACCUUAUCUCUCAUAAACUGUGUUUGUAUUCAGAUGUUGUGAAUAGGGCUCAGUUAUUGGAGCACGAUAAUGAGUCAACCCAACCAAGAGAGAGCAGCCAGCAAAUCGAUAAUACCAGUGGUAGCAGUCAUCGAAGCGGUGACAACAAAGGUGGAGGGAAUCAACAUUCCAAAAAUGAUAAUCACUUCGGUUGUAAUCAUGGCCAUGCUAAUAAGAGUGGACAUUUCAAGAAGAGGAGAUUCAACAAGGAUGGAAAGACGUCAGCACUAGCACCUGUUGUUAAGGAAGGAGAACGACCAUUGGUCGUAUGCAAAUGUGGAGGGGAAGGACACAUAAGUCCAAACUGCACGAUACAAUCCAAAGCGUGUUAUAAUUGUGGAAAAGAAGGUCACCUAGCCCAAUUUUGUCAUGCACCUAAGUCAAGUCCAGUUGGGAUGGAGGCAUCAAAGGGUGUCCCUGACAAGAUAAAACCGGUAGUUCAAGGGGGAGCGUUUGCCAUAAUCUCCCAAAAAGCGAGGAAUCCGAACGAGGUGAUCAUGGGUAAGCUAAUCAUAAACUCUAACGAAGCUUAUACUUUAUUUGAUACCGAUUCUACCCAUUCCUUUAUUUCUCCUACUUGCGCUCAAUGUUUAAAUUUAACUCCGUAGAAAUUAGACUUUGACUUAUCUGUUGAAACUCUAUUGGGAGAAACCUUCAUUACAUCCACGGUUUAUAAGUCUUGUUUGAUUCAAAUCGGUAACCGCAUGUUACCUGUCGAUCUUAUUUCUUUGAAAAUUCUUGCAUUUGAUGUGAUUUUAGGGGUUGAUAGGUUAACUACUCAUCAUGCUAAAAUUGAUUAUUUUCGUAAGGUUGUUAGCUUUCAUAUUCCUAACCAACCUAUUAUGUGAAUUCAAGCAACCAAACCACUAAAAUCAAUCACUGUCAUAUCAAGUCAUAAAGCUAUUCGUUUAUUAAAAAACGGAUGUCAAGCUUUCUUAGCCCAUGUCACGGAUUUAAAUAAAGAUACGUCAUAUUUGAAUGAUAUUUCUAUUGUUAAUAAAUUUCCUGACGUAUUCCCUGAAGAACUUCCUGGCCUACCCCCAGAGCGUGAAAUUAAAUUUUGUAUCGACCUUGAAUCCGGUACAAAACCCAUUUCCAAAGCCUCAUAUCGAAUGGCUCCUAUUCAACCUCAAGAGUUAAAAACCCAACAACAGGAAUUGUUAGACAUCGGUUUCAUUCGUCCUAGUACGUCUCCUUAGGGUGUCCUGUUCUAUUCGUAAAGAAGAAAGAUGGAAGUAUGCGACUUUGUAUUGAUUGUCGGGAGUUGAAUCAUGUCACCAUCAAAAAUAGGUACCCGUUGCCUCGCAUUUAUGACCUAUUUGACCAGUUGCAAGGAGCCAAAUUCUUUUCAAAGAUUGAUCUUCAUUCCAGAUAUCAUCAGUUGAAGAUUAAAACUGAUGACAUUCCAAAGACUGCUUUCAGAACUCGGUACGGGCAUUAUGAAUUCCUAGUCAUGUCUUUUCGAUUGACUAAUGCUCCUGUUGCCUUCAUGGAUAUGAUGAACCGAGUAUUCAAGGAAUAUUUAGAUCACUUUGUGGUCGUCUUUAUUGAUGACAUCCUCAUAUACUCCAAAACCCGCGAAGACCAUGAGCAACACUUGAGGCUGAUACUCCAAAAGCUUCGUGAAAAUAAGCAUUAUGCCAAGUUGAAGAAAUGCGAGUUCUGGCUUGAGGAAGUUGCAUUUCUUGGGCACGUGAUAUUAAAUUGUGGAAUAUCUGUUGACCCGAAAAAGAUUAUAGCAAUUCAAAGCUGGGAGCAACCUAAGUUAGUGACCGAAGUACGUAGCUUUCUCGACUUAACUAGUUAUUAUCGGAGAUUCAGAGAAGGGUUUUCUCGAAUUGCUACUCCAUUAACUCAGCUGACUCGAAAAGGUACAAAAUUCGGUUGGAGCGAGGAUGUGAAAAGAGUUUAAAAGAACUCAAGAGGAGACUCAUUUCGGCACCUGUUCUGACAAUACCAUCUGGCUCGGAGGGAUUUGUCAUCUACAGUGAUGCUUCAGGCAAAGGGUUAGGAUGUGUUCUCAUGCAACAUGGGAAAGUCAUAGCCUAUGCCUCUCGACAACUCAAAGAAUAUGAGAGGAAUUAUCCUACUCAUGAUCUAGAGUUGGCAGCAGUCAUUUUUGCGCUUAUAAUUUGGAGGCAUUACCUGUAUGGAGAGAAGGUGGAGAUCUAUACGGAUCAUAAAAGUCUCAAAUAUUUCUUCACUCAAAAGGAACUCAACAUGCGGCAACGAUGAUGGCUUUAGUUGUUGAAAGAUUAUGAUCAUACCAUCCAAUACCAUCCUGAAAAAGUCAACGUAGUAGCUGACGCAUUGAGUAGAAGAUCGUAUGCGGGUACGAGUGCAAUAUUGUUAACGCAAAGACCCAUUUUGUAUGACUUGGAAAUGAUGGAAAUAGAGUUAAAGACUCCAAGGACCCAUGUGAUGAUGACGAAUAUAUGAGUGGAACCGACUUUAAUCGAUAAAGUUAAAGUUGUUUAAACUACAGACUUGGAGCUGAUGCGUAUGAAGAAGAAAGUGCAAGAAGGUGCUAUUUCGAAAGCAAGAAUCGAUGAAGAAGGAAUACUUCGAGUCAACUCCAGACUUUGUGUUCCUAACGAUUCUGACUUGAAGUAUAAAAUCAUGAUGGAGGCGCACAACACACCGUUUACAAUCCAUCCUGGGAGUACCAAAAUGUAUCGUGAUCUUCGACAUACAUUUUGGUGGAGCAAUAUGAAGAGAGAGAUAGCGGGGUUUAUCUCAAGGUGUCUAACUUGUCAACGAGUCAAGGCGGAGCAUCAAGUGCCAAAAGGUCCAUUGCAACCACUUGAAAUUCCAGAAUGGAAGUGGGAGCACAUUACCAUGGAUUUCAUUACUAGUCUUCCCAAGGUUUCUCAAAGCAUAAAUGCGAUUUGGAUCAUUGUUGAUAGAUUGACCAAGUCUGCUCAUUUCUUACCGAUAUGAGAAACUUUUACACUUGAACGUCUAGCUAGUAUGUACAUAAACGAGAUCAUAAGAUUUCAUGGUAUGCCAGUAUCCAUAGUUUCUGAUCGAGACCCAAGAUUCACUUCAAGAUUUUGGGUUAGUUUACAAAAAGCUAUGGGCACGGAUUUACGAUUUAGUUCGGCAUAUCCUCAAACAGAUGGGCAGUCAAAAAGGACUAUUCAAACUAUUGAAGAUUUAUUAAGACUGUGUCCUUGACUUCAAGGGAAGUUGGGACAAGUUCUUACCAUUACUGGAGUUUUCCUACAACAAUAGUUAUCAAACAAGUAUUAGUAUGGCUCCAUUUGAGGCAUUUUAUGGUAAAAAGUAUCGUUCUCCAGUAUGUUGGGAUGAGGUUGGUGAAGCAACGUUGUUGGGACCAGAUUUGGUAUGUAUGACUACAGAAAAGAUUCAAAUGAUCCGACAACGUAUAAAAACCACACAAGAUCGACAAAAGAGUUAUGCUGAUCUUCAUCGAAAAGACGUGGAAUUCAAUAUUGGAGAUCAUGUGUUGUUACGUGUUGCUCCAUGGAAAGGAGUUACAAGAUUUGGAAAGAAAGGAAAGCUCAAUCCUCGAUUCAUUGGCCCAUUUUUAAUCCUCGAUAGAGUAGGAACUGUGGCCUAUAGACUCGCCUUACCGCCAAGUAUGUCUCGUGUUCAUAACAUUUUUCACAUAUCUAUGAUACGUAAAUAUGUGAAAGACCCGAACCAUAUUAUUGAAUUAGAACCAGACGAGAUAGAGGAAGAUUUAACGUAUGAAGAGUUACCUGUUAAAAUUUUGGAUAAGAAGGAUCAUAUUCUACGCUCUAAAGUUAUACCUCAAGUCAAAGUUUUGUGGAGAAACCAGGAUGUGGAGGAAAUGACAUGGGAGUUAGAAUCUGAGAUGAAAUCAAGGUAUCCUCACCUAUUCGACAUACCAGGUACGCACCCUAAUUUCUAGGAUGAAAUUUCAUAAGAAGGGGAGGUUGUAAGACCCCAACUUUUAUGAAUAAAGAAUAAUUUUCUUGAAAUAUAUUUUUGAAUAUUAUGGAGUGGAUUUGAUAUAAUGUUAUAGUUAUGGGUAAUAUUUAAAAAUUUUGCAAAGUAAGCAAGUGGUUAUAUAAUAUUCGAUUGGUCGGGGAAUAUUUGUUUUAACAGGGAAUAUUCGUACGACGGCACAAUCAUUUGUGGACCCCACAACGGAAGUAUUGUCGUAGUUAGAAAACGACAUAAUUAUCUUUUUAUAAAAAUAACGGCGGAAGUUUUACCAUUAAACUUUUGAACUACCCGGUAGUAAAAUUACAGUAAUACGAGUGGUUGCAUAGUAGCACACGGUAUUGAAUAUUGAUGCUUACGUGAGAAGUCACUCAGUUAUACUCAAUUAUUGCUACAGUAAUUCCUGCAUCAUAUCUCUCAUAUUAUUGAUUCGAUUAUUGACACAGUAUCAUCUGCAUUAUAUGUUAUAUUAUAAAAUUAAUAAUUGAGAUGACAAAGUUAUUCAUAUUAUUAAAUUGUAAUAUUUACAAUGUCUAGAAGUUUUGUCAAUGAGAGGUUUGGUCAUCUAAUUGCGCGCCAAUAAGGAGAAAUCCUUAUCGGAAAGCCCCCUAUUUCCUGAGAACGACCUGGUUGUUAAAUAUUGUGAGUUAUAAUAUUAAUGACGAAUAAGUUCAUGUUGAUUAAAGAUGAAAUUGAUAGUUCCAUUGUGUUGGAAUUAUUAGUGUUAGUGGAAAUCGACAUUUAUUUCGAUAUUAAUUGAUAUCUGGAAGUUAUCGGGUAAUUAAUCGGAUUAAUGAGGAAUUAAUUGCUAUUAAUUCACAUGAUUAUAACUAUUUGUUCACAUGUGUGUACUAUUGAUUCAUAUUCAUGUACUAUUAGGGGAGUUGGUGCAAGAUUGAUAAUACUUGCAUGAUUAAGUUAAAAAUGGAGGUAUAGAUGGAUGUACUAUAUUGUUAUUCAUAUUUUCACAUGAUUAUAACUUUUUAAUCACAUGAUUGAACUAUUGAUUCACAUUAUUUACUAUUAGGGGAGGUGGUGCAAGUUUGAUAAUACUUGCAGGACUAAAUUAAAAAUGAAAGAAAAGUUGGAUGUAUUUACUGUAAUUUUUUGAGCCCCAAAACGUGCAAUUAUCGAAACUAUAUUUCCCUUCAUUUCUCACCAAUUAUAGAGAGAAUGAAGAAGAGAAGUCUGCUACCUCUCUACUCCAGUAUCCAGUUUCUUUCUAAGGUAAGGGGUAUUAUUUCUAUCGUAUUCAUGAAGAGAGCUUCUGUUAUUCCAUUCUUUAUUAUUAUGUUGGAAUAACCUGUCUAUGCGAAGUACCGCAUACAUGGUGAAAUUCUUCUGUUAUUCCAUUCCUUAUUAUUAUGUUGGAAUAACCUGUCUAUGCGAAGUACCGCAUAUAUGGUGAAAUUCUUCUGUUAUUCCAGUCUUUAUUAUUCUAUUGGAAUAUCCUAUAUGUGCGUAUUACGCAUGACCUGGUUCCAUUAUUUAUUAUUCUGUUGGAAUAACCUGUCUGUGCGGUCUAUCGCAUGCCUGGUGAAUUCUGUUGUUAUUCCAUUCUUUAUUAUUCUGUUGGAAUAACCUGUCUGUGCGGUCUAUCGCAUGCCUGGUGAAUUCUGUUGUUAUUCCAUCCUUUAUUAAUUCUAUUGGAAUAUCCUGUCUGUGCGGAUUACGCAUGACCGGGUUCCAUUCUUUAUUAUUCUGUUGGGAGUAACCUGUCUAUGCGGUCUAUCGCAUGCAUGGUGAAUCCUUCUGUUAUUCCAUUCUUUAUUAUUCUGUUAGAAUAACAUGUCUAUGUGGAUUACCGCAUGCAUGGUGAAUCCUUCUGUUAUUCCAUUCUUUAUUAUUCUGUUAGAAUAACAUGUCUAUGUGGAUUACCACAUGCAUGGUGAAUCCAUCUAUUAUUCCAUUCUUUAUUAUUCUGUUGGAAUAACCUGUCUACGUGGAUUACUGCAUGGUGGGCAAAAAUCCAUUUGCAGUUUCAUAUAUUCUAUUAUACUCAGUUGGUUAAAGUUUUGGCUUCUAUACUCCAUGAAAUUAGUAGAAUAUCCUAGAUAUUUGCACUUCAUCCAGUAUCUUUUCAUGGGAAUAUUCUUCUAAGCAUUCUUGAAUUUUACUCCACAAAGUAGUAUCAUAUUGAUAAUUUGGACGUUAUUAAUUUUUGGAUAAACUAAAAUUUUAAAUCUUUAAAAUUUAUUCUUGAACUUGUUUUAUUGAAUUAUUAUGUCAUUAUCAUCAUCAUCAUGCUUAUAUUGUGAUGAAAGUCAUCUUUGGCUUACGUGCAUAGAUGGACUUGGUAUGAUUAUGACCAGGGAUUAUUCGAUGUAAUCAUGACCUGUAAUGUUAUAAAUGAUGUGGUAAAAGUCCUCAGUAGCCUGUAGUGCAUUAAUGGACAGUUUUUGGUAUGAUUGUGACUAGGGAUUAUUCGGUAUAGUCAUGACCAUUGAUGAUUUAAUGAAUAUCCUUGGCCCGUAGUGCAGGGAUGACUCGAUGAUGUGGUUUAUUUAUUAAGCUGAGUCUCGGCGAUAAAAAUUGAUGAAAAUAUUUUAAAUCUUAGAAGAUAGUAGAUAUCAUGCUCUACUCUACUCUUCUAAUGGAUUGUUUAUUUCGCUGCAAUUAAACUUUAUGUCUAUUGUAUUUUAUCUGUUUAACAUUGUUGAAGACUAAUAAUAAUUUAUUCUGCAUUAUCUUAGUCAUAAUAUUUCUUACUGGGCUAGUUGAGCUCACCCUUUCUUUCACUGUUCUAUUCAGGAAAUGAGAACGUAGCCGGGACUAGUCG
rnacentral:lncRNA from 1 species